UUUCUUCAACAAAUUAUUUAAAUUGAAUAAUCUGUGAAGUUUACAGAGGGUAGAAACUAUUGCUUUUUUCAAGGGCAAGAAACCAAAAAUGUGGGGAACCACUGCUGUACUUUUAUAAUGUAUUUAAAAUAACAAGCUUAAAGUGGAGCAGAAGGGCAAGUUUAAAGUAACAAGCUGUCAGAUAAAUGUAGUGACCACCACUGUUCUCUCUCUCUUUCUUAGCGGUGUAUAUUUUGGGUAGGCAAUGAAAUUUGGGUAUAAAGAUUUUUUUUUAAAAGUAGCAUCGCUAGCAAGUGCAAAGAUUAUUUUGGAUAGAAAACAUCCAGUUUAGCAGAGCGAGCUAAAGCAGAAUGGCUGGAAACUGGGCUGACAUGUUGAUCUCCCUCCAUGCAGAGGAAUAACAGCAUGACUGCCUCGUGUGAUGACCCAUCCCUCACUUCGGAAAAAGACAAAAGCCUGAGUAAAACUGGACAAAGAAGAAAGUCGGAUACAGAAGACAUGGGUGAGCAUUUCAUAAGUGUCCUUGGGCAAGACACUGAACCCCCCCACAUCAUGGCUUGACAAAAAUGACUUUAGAGAAGAGCUUCGGGGAUGAAACACGUGGAUGAAACCAAGCCAUGUGUCAACGUGCUGUGGAGGUCCUGUCGCAUCUAUCAGUGAAGUGUCACAACACCUUUAACUAAACAUCAGAUACAGGACAGUCGCCUGAUUCCAGAUGCUUACGGCACAUUUACUGGAGAAAUGACCAGGGACAGGGCUUCUCGUUCAACAGCUGAUAUUAUAUUCCGGUUGUCAUCCUUUUGUAAUGUUCAUAUUCAGCUGGUGGCUGUAAUGUUUCAUGGUUCACCCUGACAACUUACUGACAACUUACAAAUAGUGAAAGGCUACUUGCCAAAUUUUGAAAUUUGCUGACAUGGAAAUCUAUUGAUUCAAGAGUUUCAGUGUGGUUUGAAAGUAUAACGGGUUUGAUAUUGACAGAUAUGUUGUAACUGGGGUCACUGUAAGUAUAAUAAAGGCAGAGGAAUUACCAGGUUUUUUAACAGGGUGAGACACUACUGUUUAUCUUGUAUUAAAUGUUUUAAGAUCUUUUAACUCUUUAGUUUCUUUGCAUGACCUGC